rnacentral:rRNA from 1 species
UACGGGGGGAGCAAGCGUUGUUCGGAUUUACUGGGCGUAAAGGGCGCGUAGGCGGUCGUGACAAGUCACUUGUGAAAUCUCCGGGCUUAACUCGGAACGGUCAAGUGAUACUGUCGGACUAGAGUACAGAAGGGGCAACUGGAAUUCUCGGUGUAGCGGUGAAAUGCGUAGAUAUCGGGAGGAACACCAAUUGCGAAGGCAGCUCGCUGGGACGUCACUGACGCUGAGACGCGAAAGCGUGGGGAGCAAACAGG